GCCCUACCAGCAGUUCUUAUGUUAAAGUAUGCAGAGACUUUUAUUUUGCCUAUUGUUUACACCCCACACUGUAGCUGCAGGAAAUCUGUAGAGAGGAGAAGAAGAAAAAGUUAGACAGCAUGGUUAUAAGCAGCAUGGAAGUUUGUUGUUGUGCUCCCCCUUCUGUGUAGUUGUUCAAAGGCAUUCUCUUUUCACAAUUUUCCAUAUAAAGAGUCAACUUCA